rnacentral:rRNA from 1 species
UACGUAGGCAGCGAGCGUUGUUCGGAGUUACUGGGCGUAAAGGGUGUGUAGGCGGUUGUUUAAGUUUGGUGUGAAAUCUCCCGGCUCAACUGGGAGGGUGCGCCGAAUACUGAAUGACUAGAGUGCGGGAGAGGAAAGUGGAAUUCCUGGUGUAGCGGUGAAAUGCGCAGAUAUCAGGAGGAACACCGGUGGCGAAGGCGGGACUCUGGGCCGAUACUGACGCUGAGGAGCGAAAGCGUGGGGAGCAAACAGG